CGGGGUGAGUAACGCGUGGGUAACCUGCCUCAUACAGGGGGAUAACAGUUAGAAAUGACUGCUAAUACCGCAUAAGACCACAGUACUGCAUGGUACAGUGGUAAAAACUCCGGUGGUAUGAGAUGGACCCGCGUCUGAUUAGGUAGUUGGUGAGGUAACGGCCCACCAAGCCGACGAUCAGUAGCCGACCUGAGAGGGUGACCGGCCACAUUGGGACUGAGACACGGCCCAG
rnacentral:rRNA from 1 species